CAAGAUAUUUUUCUCUUUGCUCGCUCCUGGCUCAUGCGGUCUGCCUCACGGUCCCCUCCGACGCGGUGCUCGUCCCUUCGCGACCUUUCCUGAUCGGAGCAGAGAUUCCGGGAAAGUAGAAGGACAGGUUUGAAACCCUUAAGCCCAAAAUUUCGUUCGUCUGCUUUCUUCUUCGUCUUCACUCAUGCACGGCGACCGGCGACCACGCACGGCGGCCGGCGACCACACACGGUGACCGGCAACGGUAGGCGGCUACGGCGAACGAUCUUUGGCGACGGUAUUUGCUUGUUUUUUCUUAUUUUUCGUUCGCCUGCCGUUUCUUCUUCAUCUUUACUCACCGGCAACAACAGGCAGAUGUUCUCUGGCGACGACAGGUGGCGAACGGCGACGGCUACUAAACUCUGAACUGAAGCAUUUACCUUAGUGUUGUAACCUUGGAUGAAGCUUCAUAUUGUUGUGGUUGAGGUUGGCUUAGCUGAAGUUGGAUGGGCAGGUGCAGAUCAUCACCAAAGUUAAAGCCACUGUUCAAGGCACUCCGCCGUGUCUCAUCUGCUGACCUUUGUCCAUAGACCUGGUGUUAAUAGAGUGAAAAAAGAAGUUAACUCUUUUGCCGUUUGAAGGUUGAAAUUUCGGACAAUGUACCAAAAGCCAAGUGCUGCUGGCCAGAGAGGGGGCGAAAGAGAUGGGAACAGGUCUUGAUUCAAGUUGUUUGCAGUUAAACAUCUUCUUAGAUGUGUGUGUGAUGUGAGAAAAUUCAGAAUGGAGUACACACCUUCCUCCUCCUAACUUCUCGCAGGCUCACUUCUAGUUGGUUUUCUAAAUCUUGUAGAUCUUUGACAUUGAGGCCUGAUAAUUCUUCUCCCUUUAGUUGCCUGCUAUGUGAGAAAAUAUCAUGGGAGUCAAAUUUUGUGCUCAGCAGAUUCCUCAGUUGCUGCGUCAAGCUUGCUGCUUCUCUCUGCCAUAACUAAUGAAUGUAAGUCCAAACGACAUGGUUAGUCCAUGUCAAAGAUGAUUCAUCAUAGAAAUGCUGCAUCGAGUCAUACUGGCUUAAUAUUUGGAAAAAAAAUCAAAAGAUGUAUAUCUUAAGAGGUAGGUCUUCAGAGUUAUCUCAGAUGAUUUUAUAUUGCCUCAUGAAGAAAAUGAAUAAUUCUGGUUGAGAUGCCAUUAAAAAAUUCCGUAGUCUGAAGUUAUGCUCUCUUAUGGGGCUAGUUGCCUAGGUUAAAAGUUCCUCAACAUCAAGGACACUUAUUUAGCAUAUAUAUGAUAAUUUGUAAUGGGCACAUGAAGGAUAUAACGGAAGCUAGUUGUCGAGAAUUUCACUGCAUAUAUUAUUGUUAUCCUUGCUUAAUUGGAUCAUGGACCUUGUUGAGUGUUUGAUGUGAUCAUAAGCCAUCUAGAUGACUAGAUAUUUGUUUGCCUCCUGCCUUAAGUAAUUCUGCUACCUGAAUGAACUGGUUGGAGAUUGUUGAAACUCAUCCUGCUCUAUUUUGGUGUACAUGAAAUGGAAAGGAUGUGUGCUCUAGCAAGUAGAUGAAUUCUUCACCAUCCUUUGUCAUACUACACUUACCUCAGGGCCUAAAGAACAACAUGACAAAGGGCGUAUGGGGGGAUCCCUAUCAUUUUGAAUAUGUAAAUUGUUAACUACCGGUUCUUAGCCUCUUAGGUGUUGGGUCAGGUCCAUGGGACUGAUGCGGUAAGAACUAUAAAAGCGAGUCAGUCGGUGUAUUUGGGGAUUAUUACGACAAUGGGAAGAUAGCUCCUCUGGGAGGACGGGACUUUAAUCAGGUAAUAGGGUUUGAGUGGGUGAGUUUUGGGGCUUAUUGGUGUGCUGUCUCUCUUGUACCCAACCUUGUUAGCUGGACGCUAACAUGAAUCAUCACCAAAUUCAUAUUUUCCUAGGCAUUGAAAGUCAACAUAUCUAUGUGCUCUUAUAGAUCUGCACCUCACCUUCAGAUGUGAAAAAUGUGCGAAAAGGACAAAUGGAGGUGGAGGAAUGGAUAAGAGAUGGGUUGGACAGUCAAGUAUAUGGAUACAGUAUUAUUUCUUCAUCUUUAAAUUUUUGCAUAACAAGAUAAUGUGUGUGCAGUAAUAAAGAACAGUUUCGACAAAAAGUCUAUAUUGUGGACCAUUUGUGUUUCUUUGUUUUUUUGUACAAUUAGAAUUGUCCUGAUUGUGCAAAUGAAAUGGUUGUGUUUAUAGUUUAUACUAUAAGAAAAACAUGGAAAUCAUCAUUUUGGAAGUCUGCUGUGCAUUGUAGCUUAUGGUGAUUCAUGCAGUUUUCCAAUUAGCUUUUCUUUAAUCAUGUAUGUCCUCUGUCUCUUUUG